UACGUAGGGGGCAAGCGUUGUCCGGAUUUAUUGGGCGUAAAGAGCGUGUAGGCGGCCAGACAGGUCCGUUGUGAAAACUAGAGGCUUAACCUCUAGACGUCGAUGGAAACCGUCUGGCUAGAGUCCGGAAGAGGAGAAUGGAAUUCCUGGUGUGGCGGUGAAAUGCGCAGAUAUCAGGAAGAACACCCGUGGCUAAGGCGGUUCUCUAGUACGGUACUGACGCUGAGACGCGAAAGCGUGGGGAGCGAACAGG
rnacentral:rRNA from 1 species